UACCUUAAGACAAAAAUAAUUUAAGGCAAGCCCUGCCCAGUGAAAUCUUCAACGGCCGCGGUAUCCUAACCGUGCAAAGGUAGCAUAAUAACUUGCCUAUUAAUUAUAGGAUAGAAUGAAAGGGUAAACGAAAUAGGAGCUGUCUCUAUUAGCCCAAUGAAAAUUAUUUUUUAACUGAAGAAAGUUAAAUUCAACUGAAGGACAAGAAGACCCUAUAGAGCUUAAUUUAACCUACUAAAUAAGUAAAAAUUAAAUUCGGUUGGGGCGACCGAUGCUCUACAAAUCAUCACCCACAAAAAGAAAUAUACAUCUCAAAAAAGACCCUGACCCAGAUCAAAAAAACAAGCUACCUUAGGGAUAACAGGCUAAUCUCAUUAACGAGUCCCCAUCUAUAAUGUUGGUUGGCACCUCGAUGUUGGCUUAGGGAAUCAAAAGGGCGCAGAAGCUUUUUAAGACGGUUUGUUCAACCAUUAAACCCCUA
rnacentral:rRNA from 1 species